AUGGCAUCCACGGCGAAGGUCACCAUCACCCUCGGCCGCAGCGGCCAGGUUGUCAAAAGGCGAACUAUUUCUGAUAUGGGUAACGAUGAUGAAGUGCCAGUAUCAGGAAGAAAGCGACCUGUCCGAGAGAGGUUAGGAAAUAAUGUGGCUGAUUCUGAUUUGUAUGGAAGUCAGCAGAGUAAUAAAAGACGGCAAACAGAAAGCAGUAGCUCGCAGCUUGGAGAUGAUGGUUUGGCUCGCCAGAUUGGCAGGGAUGAUUUAAGGCUGAAGCUUAUGAGGAAAGGCUUGACACAGAAGAGCAACAGUGAGGCAGAACAGAAUGGAGUGGAUCUCCGUGAAAAGCUUUCCAGGAAGUCAAAGAAACUCCAGGGAUACGAGGCAAGAAGGGGUGAUCCAGAAUCAAGGUCUAGUUAUGAUGAGGGGGAAAUCCCAGAAUCAGGAUCUGGAUAUGGUUUGAGGGGGAGAGUCCCAGAGUCAAGAGCCUCUACUCUUGUAAGCCAAGUGCCUUCGUCAAGGAGUGCAGAUGGGUUGUUCAAGUUGGAGUCUUCAGGAAAACCUUAUCCCUCGUGGACCGCUGAUUGUUUGAGGUAUACGUCCCCAGACAAGCUUCCAAGUGUUCGAAGAGACAUGACUCCCCCAAGAAGUGUUCGAAGAGGCAUGUCUCCCCCGAGGGCCGUUCGGAGAGGCAUGUCUCCCCCGAUAAGUUCUCGAAGAGGCAUGUCUCCCCCAAGAAGUGCCCGAAGAGGCAUGUCUCCUCCAAGAAGUGUUCGAAGAGGCAUGUCUCCUCCAAGAAGUGUUCAAAGAGGCAUGUCUCCUCCAAGAAGUGUUCGAAGAGGCAUGUCUCCCCCAAGAACAUAUGAUCAUACAGGGUCCAUUCCAUCCCUUCGAUCUGUCGGUACCACAAGACCUUCUAGUCAUAUCACAAGAGAUGCUGCUGACACGUUAAGAACCCAUCAACCUUACGAAGACAGCUCUACCAUUGGGAUCGAUAGAGGACAACAAACUAAUGGAAUCACACAAUCUGGACGCCGGCCUACAUCCCCUGUGCUGAAAGAAGUACCGUCGACAGUUACUGGAUUACUGAAUUCAAUGGGACUUGAGAAGUAUGUUGUUCUCUUUCAGGCUGAGGAGGUGGAUAUGGCCGCAUUGAGUCAGAUGAAAGACAGCGACCUCAAAGAUAUGGGAGUACCAAUGGGCCCCAGGAAGAAGAUACUCCUUGCGGCGGCACCUUACGGAAAACAACGGCAAAGAUGA
rnacentral:rRNA from 1 species